AUUGAACGCUGGCGGCAGGCCUAACACAUGCAAGUCGAACGAGAGGCGGACGGGGGAGUAAUAUAUGGGAAACUGACCGAUGGAGGGGGGGAACAACAGUAAACGGUAGCUAAAACCGCAUACCAUCGGAUGUGCCCAGAUUGGAUUAGCUGGUAGGGGAGGUAACGGCUCACCUGGGCGACGUUCCCUAGCUGGUCGGAGAGGAUGACCAGACACACUGGAACUGAGACACGGCCCAGACUCCUACGGGAGGCAGCAGUGGGGAAUAUUGCACAAUGGGCGCAAGCCUGAUGCAGCCAUGCCGGGUGUAUGAAGAAGGCCUUCGGGUUGUAAAGUACUUUCAGCGGGGAGGCGUUACCCGCAGAAGAAGCACCGGCUAACUCCGUGCCAGCCGCCGCGGUAAUUC
rnacentral:rRNA from 1 species